UACGAAGGGGGGCUAGCGUUGCUCGGAAUCACUGGGCGUAAAGCGUGCGUAGGCGGUUUUGUAAGUCAGAUGUGAAAUCCCCGGGCUUAACCUGGGAACUGCGUUUGAAACUACAAGGCUAGAGUGUGGCAGAGGGGGGUGGAAUUCCACGUGUAGCAGUGAAAUGCGUAGAGAUGUGGAGGAACACCGAUGGCGAAGGCAGCCCCCUGGGUUAACACUGACGCUCAGGCACGAAAGCGUGGGGAGCAAACAGG
rnacentral:rRNA from 1 species